AUUGAACGCUGGCGGUAGGCCUAACACAUGCAUGUCGAACGCGAAAGUCCUUCGGGAUGAGUAGAGUGGCGGACGGGUGAGUAACGCGUAGGAAUCUGUCCUGUAGUGGGGGAUAACGUUUCGAAAGGAACGCUAAUACCGCAUACGCCCUACGGGGGAAAGCGGGGGAUCUUCGGACCUCGUGCUAUAGGAGGAGCCUGCGUCGGAUUAGCUAGUUGGUGAGGUAAAGGCUCACCAAGGCGACGAUCCGUAGCUGGUCUGAGAGGAUGAUCAGCCACACCGGAACUGAGACACGGUCCGGACUCCGACGGGAGGCAGCAGUGGGGAAUAUUGCGCAAUGGGCGAAAGCCUGACGCAGCCAUACCGCGUGUGUGAAGAAGGCCUUCGGGUUGUAAAGCACUUUCAGUGGGGAGGAAAAGCUGGUGGCUAAUAUCCAUCGGCCGUGACGCUACCCACAGAAGAAGCACCGGCUAAUUCCGUGCCAGCCGCCGCGGUAAGAC
rnacentral:rRNA from 1 species